CAGGGCUGUAGUUUAAUAAAAUAUUAGCAUUGGAAGCUAGAGAUCAGGUAUUAGUCCUGUGUCCUGA
rnacentral:tRNA from 2 species